CGGGGCGUAGCGCAGCUUGGCUAGCGUGCUUGGAUCGGGACCAAGAGGUCGGAGGUUCGAAUCCUCUCGCCCCGACCA
rnacentral:tRNA from 1 species